AUGACAGAUGCAUGGACCAACAAAAGAGGAAGGGGGGUAAUGAAUUUGGUAGUUCACAGCGCUUAUGGUGUUGUUUUUCUUAAAUCUGUUGACUGUUCGGAUGUGAGAAAAGAUGGCAAGAUGAUAUUUGAGCUUGUUGAUGGCUGCGUAGAAGAAAUUGGAGAGAAAAAUGUAAUUCAAAUUGUAACUGACAAUGCAUCUGUCAAUAUAUCAGCAGCAGCGAUGAUGAAAGUGAAGCGCCCCUCCUUAUUUUGGAAUGGUUAUGCAGCCCACACAAUUGAUUUGAUGCUGGAGGACAUAGGCAAGCUACCUACAGUUGAGCAAACCAUUGUCAAAGCAAGGGCUGUGACUCUGUUCCUUUAUGCACAUACAAGAGUUUUAGCUCUGAUGAGGAAAUUUCUUGGAAAAGAUCUUGUUCGUUCUGGUAUUACUAGGUUUGCUACAGCAUAUUUGAACUUGAAGAGCUUGCAGGACAACAAAAAAGGAGCUGCAGAAGUUGUUUAG
rnacentral:rRNA from 1 species